UACGUAGGGUGCGAGCGUUAAUCGGAAUUACUGGGCGUAAAGUGUGCGCAGGCGGCCAUGCAAGUCGAGUGUGAAAGCCCCGGGCUUAACUUGGGAAUUGCGCUCGAAACUACGUGGCUGGAGUGUGGCAGAGGAAGGUGGAAUUCCACGUGUAGCGGUGAAAUGCGUAGAGAUGUGGAGGAACACCAAUGGCGAAGGCAGCCUUCUGGGCCAACACUGACGCUCAUGCACGAAAGCCAGGGGAGCGAACGGG
rnacentral:rRNA from 1 species